CAGUCGCCACGGUAAUACGAAGGGGGCUAGCGUUGUUCGGAAUUACUGGGCGUAAAGCGCACGUAGGCGGACAUUUAAGUCAGGGGUGAAAUCCCGGGGCUCAACCCCGGAACUGCCUUUGAUACUGGGUGUCUAGAGUAUGGAAGAGGUGAGUGGAAUUCCGAGUGUAGAGGUGAAAUUCGUAGAUAUUCGGAGGAACACCAGUGGCGAAGGCGGCUCACUGGUCCAUUACUGACGCUGAGGUGCGAAAGCGUGGGGAGCAAACAGGAUUAGAUACCCCAGUAGUCCCUGUCUCUUAUAC
rnacentral:rRNA from 1 species